CUGCUGGGUUCUUGGAGUGCUGGACCUCCCGUGGCAUGUGGCAAGGAGUUGUCAUGGGUUAUCACGACAUAUGAUGAUCAACUAUGGGAGACCCAAAGACCACUCAGUCCUUUUUCCGAUGAAUGGCUGUGUAUGUCACACUAGCAACAAACAGAACCGCAAGAGCUCCUGUGACAAUGCUGAGCCCGAUCACUGCGCCUUGCAGAGCAGAUGCCGUCUGUACCUCCCUCCUGUUAAGAAACCAGAGGGUUUUUAAUUGCCU
rnacentral:lncRNA from 1 species